GAACAAGAGAGGGCAAUAUUCUGUACUUCCAUUUCUUCUUCACAUCCAAAUACUGAUCUGAUCCAAAAGAAUCAAAGGUUUUUCCUGGGAUUCUUUAACAAGAGAGAAUUACAGAAAUGGGUCGUGGAGUCAGCUAUGGAGGAGGGCAAAGUUCACUGGGAUACUUAUUUGGAAACGGUGAGGCGCCAAAACCAACCACGGGAAAUGCCCCAGCUGUUCAAAGUGAAGGGCAGGCAAUAAAUAAGGAGCCAGCUUCAAAGCCUACCGUUUCCGCUACAGUUGAUGCUACUAAGCAGAUUCCUGCUGGUAUUCAGAGCACUGCUUCAAGAAACCAUUUUGGGGGAGAUGGUCAAAACACAGGCAACUUUAUCACGGACCGGCCAUCUACCAAAGUCCAUGCUGCUCCUGGAGGUGGAUCUUCUUUGGGUUAUCUCUUCGGCGGUGGCAGCAACUAAGCAAUUCUCCAAUAUACAGUUGGAUAAUUGUUUUAUCACUUCUUUACCUUUUGUCUAUCAACACUAUGUUGUAAUUGUAAUUGUGAGUACUUCAGGUUGUUGUGAAGGGUUAGUUGCAUAAGGCUUUGGUCCAAAGUCCCAGUUGACACCCAUGAAACUAAAGUUACUUUCAAUGUAAUAUGCCAACCUUUGUUAAUUGAUCAUUUUGAUUGAACAGCUUUUCUUGCCUAAACUUCAUAUCUAUGAUUGUUAAGGGAAACUAGAC
rnacentral:misc_RNA from 1 species